GGUCCUGGGCUUUCAAUCACACAGUGACCCCCUGUGAGGAAACACCACAGGCCUCCUUCCAGACAGAGACUGCCAAGCACAUCUCAGGGAGAUGGACACUGGUUGAGAAACUGCUAAAGGCCUCUAGGCAGAGCUGACCUAGUAAUGGGAAAGGCUGCCUCCUGGCCAUGGAUAACAACCCAGAGAGCCUCCCUCUCCCCCUCAUCCCUCUCCCCUGUGAUGGCCCCUGACUCCGCAGCCUUUGAGAGAAAGACCAAGGUCCCUUCCUCUCUGAGGGCUGAUGCAUCACUGCCUUCAGUUGGAGCAUUUUCUCCUGACGCGCUCUCUCACAGCCGUCUUUGAAAGGAAGGACGGAGAAGAAAGGUGUCUGUGUCUCCACAAUGGCCAAGUUUUUCUCCAAAGCUACCUAAAGGAAUUGAAACAGUCAUGGUUUACAGAAGUUAGAUUAUUAGUGGAGAUCCUGUAGGAGGAUGGAAUCUCAAGAGCAGAGCCUACGAGGAAGAAAAGAGUGAGCCUACAAUGUGCCCCCUUGAGGAGAACGUCCUCAGCCAUGAGGACCCAGCCACCCACUGGGUAAAGGAGAGAUACAGCAGCUACUGGGGACUGGGGGUGCUGUGAUGAGGAGGAAGGGGAGGGCCCACAGGUGUUUCAGAAGAAAACACAGGCAAAUUAUGAAACAAAUGAAUGAAAACAAACAGGGUUUAAAUUGAGCUAAGGGGUGAGUAUUUUUGUUUCCUAUAGUUGAGAUCAGGUUCUUAUAAAGUUCCCAGGGAAUGUCCUAACUUCCUUCAGAGGUCAGGAAGCAUUUUUCUUUCCAGAAGUUUUGAGAGUCAGGAAGGGAGGAACACAUUUUGAGAUGCCAGAGCUCAAAUCCCAUGUCACUGGGACAUCAGCAACAGUGCUAUGGGGAAGACUUGGUGGCAGCUCUUGAGUCACAAUCACAGAAUUAGAAUGUGGAGGUAGCUCCAGAACCC
rnacentral:lncRNA from 1 species